ensembl:lncRNA
AGCAAUAUCUGAGGAAGGUCCACCCUGUUUGCUUCCCAAGGGCCCAGGGUCUCAACUCUACUGCUCACCUUCCAGCCUUCCAUUCAUCCCCAACCUCCAGGAUAUCUUCUUAAUCACAUCAGCUUCAGCAAAGAGCACUCUUCUAUGCAGCUUGAACAGAGGAAGUGACACGAUCCAUGCAUUGCUGAGUUUGUAGCAAGGAAGAAAAGUGAUCCUUAGUUGUGUGAGAGCAGUCCUUCACCUGCAGAAUUAAGUCGUGUUCUGACUUUCUCAGAGGGCGUCGACUUAUCCAACAAAGAGGAGUAAUUGUCUUCAAGAGAAUUUGUAUUAUCUGCAAUAAGACUUUGGUGCGAGCACUCCAUUUCAUUCAGAAGUUGUAAGAGAUGAGGCAUUACCAAUGAGGCAUUAGACCUCUGGGAGCUUUAGAAAGGAAAGGACAAUUUUGAAGCUAGAGCAGGCAAACACUGCUUUGGAGAACUGGAUUUUACAUCUCUGACAUGCAGAUUUUGAGUGAUGCUAGGCCGGUUGAUUGAAAAUGGCAGAAUGGAGCAGAAACUCGGGAGAUGGGUUGUGUAGAUUUGGCUGUUUUGCUCAGGGCUUGUCAUUCUAUGUCCCCUUAGGAGCAAUCCUAGGAAGAGAGAGAGAUUUUAUUGCAUAGAUACAACUACAACGUACAAAAAUAUAACAAUAAUAAUAAUAAUAAUAAUAUAAAGCAAGACCUCUUUUGAUAGAUUUUAUUGUCUGCUAAGGAGGCAAAAUUAACAGUCCUGCCAGCUGCUUCCUGCCUACAUCUUCAAGAUCUUUCUUAUUCCUUUCUGCAGAUUUACUCCUGAGAUUUUCCCAGCCCUAGAUCUAUCCCUGCCUUUGUAGCUCAUGUACGGAUAUCCAGACAAACCUGUUUAAAUACAGCACCUGCUGAAAACUCGUAGUCAUUUCUAAAUAUUUCUAAAAGAAAAAAAAUACAUAGAGGUCAGCAUCAGACCUUAGAGUCAGAAGAUUCAGGACAGACAGCAAAAGAAUAUUAACUCCAAGGAGUGGAGAAAGUUCCAUCCCAGAUAGACCGUAUGUAAGAGGCAGAUGACUGCACCUAUUACAAUCAAAUCAGGUCAUUCCAAUCUACUCUCAUCUGUCCUCUUCUCAUGCUGAAAUAGGUGGCUCAAGAUGGAAUUCUUUUGUCAUUUGGUGACUGUGUGAAUUUGGAAUUUCAUUGGAGCCUGGUUUUGCUCCCAGAAGCACUUUUUUUUUUUUUUUUUUCCCUGUAAGCAUACACAAUAGUUAUCAGAAAGAAGAUAUCAUGUUUGUGACUGUUAACAGGGAGGAGGAGCAACCAAGAACUGGACUACAAAGCUGGAGGUAGAAAGAAAAAGGCUAUGAUGCAUAAAAGGAGACCUUAUAAAUGUUUUCCACAAAAGCAACCCAGCAUAUUGUUGAUUUUAACAAUACCAUAAAAGAAAUUUAAAAAUCCUUUAAAAUAAAACCAUCCGGUACAAGAGUUAACAGAGUUUCAAACAAAGAAGGAUUGAGGAGCUCCUUUCCAGCUGGAGUGCCCAACAUGGCAUCCCAUAGGCCAUGCUGGGGACAGCUCCCAUAGGACUGCCUGAGUCAUGGUAGGGAGCUGAUGGCUCAACAACCUGUCAGCCCCAGCACAUAAAGGAGUUAAGCAACUGCGGGCACUCCAGAUCCACUGCCUUCUGUUAUUUCUUCCCCUUGUGUUAAAUAUGAUAAUAGCACUACUUCGACUUAGAAGGAUGUUAUAAAGUUAAUUCAUUAAUGCUUGAAGAAGCUAAAAUGAUGACAUGAGAGUACCGCAGGAAAGCCAUCAAGGAAAUUAAUGAACCUGCCUUCGAGGCAGGGUUUGAAGAAUGUACAAUAAAGAUGACAUGAAAGGUUCCACU